CAACUAAAUCAAAACAAGGAAGAAAACAGGGGUUCUGUUGAAUUUCAAGUAUUCAGUUUCACCAAUAAGAUACGGAGACUUGCUUCACAUUUGGAAUUACACAAAAAAGAUUUUUCAUCGGAAAGAGGUCUACGAAGACUUUUGGGAAAACGUCGACGUUUGCUGGCUUAUUUGGCAAAGAAAAAUAGAGUA
rnacentral:rRNA from 1 species